rnacentral:pre_miRNA from 1 species
CUAGAGGAAUGAGUGAAGCUGCCAGCAUGAUCUAGCUCUGGGUGACCAAACACUCAUAAACACUUGUGUUUAUGAAGGUCAAUCAUUGUUAGGUCAUGCUGUGCCAGCCUCACUUCUUCCCAUC